rnacentral:rRNA from 1 species
UACGUAGGUGGCGAGCGUUGUCCGGAUUUACUGGGCGUAAAGAGCGCGCAGGCGGCUGGUCAAGUCCGACGUGAAAGCUCCCGGCUUAACUGGGAAACGGCGUCGGAAACUGAUCGGCUUGAAGGUGGGAGAGGGUAGCGGAAUUCCCGGUGUAGUGGUGAAAUGCGUAGAUAUCGGGAGGAACACCAGUGGCGAAGGCGGCUACCUGGCCCAUUCUUGACGCUGAGGCGCGAAAGCUAGGGGAGCAAACGGG